GGGGUUGUAGCUCAGUGGUAGAGCGAUCGCUUCGCAUGCGAUAGGCCCAGGGUUCAAUCCCCUGCUGCUCCA